CACGUAGGCGGUUCGUCGCGUCCGGUGUGAAAGUCCAUCGCCUAACGGUGGAUCUGCGCCGGGUACGGGCGGGCUGGAGUGCGGUAGGGGAGACUGGAAUUCCCGGUGUAACGGUGGAAUGUGUAGAUAUCGGGAAGAACACCAAUGGCGAAGGCAGGUCUCUGGGCCGUUACUGACGCUGAGGAGCGAAAGCGUGGGGAGCGAACA
rnacentral:rRNA from 1 species